GCUCCCGUUGCAUAAUCGGUCAAUGCGCACUCCUUAUAAGGGUGUGAUCCGGGUUCGAGCCCCGGCGGGAGUACC
rnacentral:tRNA from 1 species